CAAUAGCGUAUAUUUAAGUUGUUGCAGUUAAAAAGCUCGUAGUUGGAUUUCGGGUGUGAACGACCGGUCCGUCUUUGAUGUGUACUGGUUGGUUGCGCCUUAUUGUCGAGGACGUGGUUCUAGCCUUCAUUAGCCGGGACACGGAGUCGGCAGCGUUACUUUGAGAAAAUUAGAGUGUUCAAAGCAGGCUAUCGCUCUGAAUACUACAGCAUGGAAUAACACGAUAGGACUCCGAGCCUAUUCUGUUGGUCUUCGGGACCGGAGUAAUGAUUAAGAGGGACAGUUGGGGGCAUUCGUAUUCCGAUGUCAGAGGUGAAAUUCUUGGAUUAUCGGAAGACGAGCAUCUGCGAAAGCAUUUGCCAAGGAUGUUUUCAUUAA
rnacentral:rRNA from 1 species